rnacentral:rRNA from 1 species
UUAGAGUUUGAUCCUUGCUCAGGAUGAACGCUAGCGGCAGGCUUAACACAUGCAAGUCGAGGGGCAGCGAGAUCAGUGCUUGCACUGAUUGUCGGCGACCGGCGCACGGGUGCGUAACGCGUAUGCAACCUACCCAUUACAGGGGGAUAACACUGAGAAAUCGGUACUAAUACCCCAUAACAUCCAGGGAGGCAUCUUCUUGGGUUGAAAACUCCGGUGGUAAUGGAUGGGCAUGCGUUGUAUUAGUUAGUUGGUGGGGUAACGGCUCACCAAGACAACGAUACAUAGGGGGACUGAGAGGUUAACCCCCCACAUUGGUACUGAGACACGGACCAAACUCCUACGGGAGGCAGCAGUGAGGAAUAUUGGUCAAUGGACGCAAGUCUGAACCAGCCAUGCCGCGUGCAGGAAGACGGCUCUAUGAGUUGUAAACUGCUUUUGUACGAGGGUAAACGCAGAUACGCGUAUCUGUCUGAAAGUAUCGUACGAAUAAGGAUCGGCUAACUCCGUGCCAGCAGCCGCGGUAAUACGGAGGAUUCAAGCGUUAUCCGGAUUUAUUGGGUUUAAAGGGUGCGUAGGCGGUCGGAUAAGUUAGAGGUGAAAUCCCGGGGCUCAACUUCGGAAUUGCCUCUGAUACUGUUCGGCUAGAGAGUAGUUGCGGUAGGCGGAAUGUAUGGUGUAGCGGUGAAAUGCUUAGAGAUCAUACAGAACACCGAUUGCGAAGGCAGCUUACCAAGCUACUUCUGACGUUGAGGCACGAAAGCGUGGGGAGCAAACAGGAUUAGAUACCCUGGUAGUCCACGCAGUAAACGAUGAUAACUCGUUGUCGGCGAUACAGUGUCGGUGACUAAGCGAAAGCGAUAAGUUAUCCACCUGGGGAGUACGUUCGCAAGAAUGAAACUCAAAGGAAUUGACGGGGGCCCGCACAAGCGGAGGAACAUGUGGUUUAAUUCGAUGAUACGCGAGGAACCUUACCCGGGCUUGAAAGUUAGUGACGGAUCUUGAAAGAGGUCUUCCCUUCGGGGCACGAAACUAGGUGCUGCAUGGUUGUCGUCAGCUCGUGCCGUGAGGUGUCGGGUUAAGUCCCAUAACGAGCGCAACCCCUACCGUUAGUUGCCAGCAGGUCAAGCUGGGCACUCUGACGGGACUGCCGGUGUAAGCCGAGAGGAAGGUGGGGAUGACGUCAAAUCAGCACGGCCCUUACGUCCGGGGCUACACACGUGUUACAAUGGCAGGUACAGAGGGCAGCUACCCAGCGAUGGGAUGCGAAUCUCGAAAGCCUGUCUCAGUUCGGAUUGGAGGCUGAAACCCGCCUCCAUGAAGUUGGAUUCGCUAGUAAUCGCGCAUCAGCCAUGGCGCGGUGAAUACGUUCCCGGGCCUUGCACACACCGCCCGUCAAG